GGGCGAUGCUGGGCGCCAUGGUGUAGUCGGAGAGAAAGGACCAAAUGGACUUCCUGGGCUCCAGGGAAAAGCUGGUGCAAAGGGAUCUAAAGGAGAAGUUGGAGACCCAGGGAAGACUGGUGAGACGGGA